rnacentral:rRNA from 1 species
CCACGCCGUAAACGUUGGGCACUAGGUGUGGGGCCUUAUCAACGGGUUCCGUGCCGUAGCUAACGCAUUAAGUGCCCCGCCUGGGGAGUACGGCCGCAAGGCUAAAACUCAAAGGAAUUGACGGGGGCCCGCACAAGCGGCGGAGCAUGUUGCUUAAUUCGAUGCAACGCGAAGAACCUUACCUGGGUUGAACUACGCAGGAAAAGCCACAGAGAUGUGGUGUCCGAAAGGGCCUGCGAUAGGUGGUGCAUGGCUGU